UACGAAGGGGGCUAGCGUUGUUCGGAAUCACUGGGCGUAAAGCGCACGUAGGCGGAUUGUUAAGUCGGGGGUGAAAUCCUGAGGCUCAACCUCAGAACUGCCUUCGAUACUGGCAAUCUCGAGUCCGGAAGAGGUUGGUGGAACAGCUAGUGUAGAGGUGAAAUUCGUAGAUAUUAGCUGGAACACCAGUGGCGAAGGCGGCCAACUGGUCCGGUACUGACGCUGAGGUGCGAAAGCGUGGGGAGCAAACAGG
rnacentral:rRNA from 1 species